rnacentral:rRNA from 1 species
UACGGAGGGAGCUAGCGUUAUUCGGAAUUACUGGGCGUAAAGCGCACGUAGGCGGCUUUGCAAGUCGGGUGUGAAAUCCCCAGGCUUAACCUGGGAACUGCAUUCGAGACUGCAUUGCUAGAGUAUGGGAGAGGGAAGUGGAAUUUCCGGUGUAGCGGUGAAAUGCGUAGAUAUCGGAAGGAACAUCAGUGGCGAAAGCGACUUCCUGGACCAAUACUGACGCUCAUGUGCGAAAGCGUGGGGAGCAAACAGG